rnacentral:rRNA from 1 species
UACAGAGGUCCCGAGCGUUGUUCGGAAUUACUGGGCGUAAAGCGCGCGCAGGCGGUCCUUCAAGUCAGAGGUGAAAGCCCAGAGCUCAACUCUGGAAUGGCCUUUGAGACUAGAGGACUUGGGUACGGGAGAGGUGAGUGGAAUUCCGAGUGUAGAGGUGAAAUUCGUAGAUAUUCGGAAGAACACCAGUGGCGAAGGCGGCUCACUGGCCCGUUACCGACGCUCAGGCGCGACAGCGUGGGGAGCAAACAGG